CAGUAGCCGCGGUAAUACGAAGGGGGCUAGCGUUGCUCGGAAUUACUGGGCGUAAAGGGAGCGUAGGCGGAUCGUUAAGUUGGGGGUGAAAGCCCGGGGCUCAACCUCGGAAUUGCCUUCAAUACUGGCGAUCUUGAGUAUGGAAGAGGUAUGUGGAACUCCGAGUGUAGAGGUGAAAUUCGUAGAUAUUCGGAAGAACACCAGUGGCGAAGGCGACAUACUGGUCCAUUACUGACGCUGAGGCUCGAAAGCGUGGGGAGCAAACAGGAUUAGAUACCCCUUAGUCCCUGUCUCUUAUACA
rnacentral:rRNA from 1 species